CCUACGGGAGGCUGCAGUGAGGAAUAUUGGUCAAUGGACGAGAGUCUGAACCAGCCAAGUAGCGUGAAGGAUGACUGCCCUACGGGUUGUAAACUUCUUUUAUAAAGGUAUAAAACGCGGCACGUGUGCCUUUCUGCAUGUACUUUAUGAAUAAGGAUCGGCUAACUCCGUGCCAGCAGCCGCGGUAAUACGGAGGUCCCGAGCGUUAUCCGGAUUUAUUGGGGUUAAAGGGAGCGUAGAUGGGUUGUUAAGUCAAGUUGGAAAGUUUGCGGCUCAACCGGAAAAUUGCAAUUGAUACUGGAAGUCUUGAGUACAGUUGAGGUAGGCGGAAUUCGUGGUGUAGCGGUGAAAUGCUUAGAUAUCACGAAGAACCCCGAUUGCGAAGGCAGCUUACUAAGCUGUGACUGACAUUGAUGCUCGAAAGUGUGGGUAUCAAACAGGAUUAGAUACCCUUGUAGUC
rnacentral:rRNA from 1 species